rnacentral:rRNA from 1 species
GAUGAACGCUGGCGGCGUGCCUAAUACAUGCAAGUCGAGCGAACAGACGAGGAGCUUGCUCCUCUGACGUUAGCGGCGGACGGGUGAGUAACACGUGGAUAACCUACCUAUAAGACUGGGAUAACUUCGGGAAACCGGAGCUAAUACCGGAUAAUAUAUUGAACCGCAUGGUUCAAUAGUGAAAGACGGUUUUGCUGUCACUUAUAGAUGGAUCCGCGCCGCAUUAGCUAGUUGGUAAGGUAACGGCUUACCAAGGCAACGAUGCGUAGCCGACCUGAGAGGGUGAUCGGCCACACUGGAACUGAGACACGGUCCAGACUCCUACGGGAGGCAGCAGUAGGGAAUCUUCCGCAAUGGGCGAAAGCCUGACGGAGCAACGCCGCGCGAGUGAUGAAGGUCUUCGGAUCGUAAAACUCUGUUAUUAGGGAAGAACAAAUGUGUAAGUAACUAUGCACGUCUUGACGGUACCUAAUCAGAAAGCCACGGCUAACUACGU